GACUUGGUGGUCUAGUGGUAUGAUUCCUUGUUAGGAUGGAACAUUGUUACGGUAUUGAGGGGGUCCUGGGUUCAAUUCCCGGUCAUGAUG